GAUGAACGCUGGCGGCGUGCCUAAUACAUGCAAGUCGAGCGAACGGACGAGAAGCUUGCUUCUCUGAUGUUAGCGGCGGACGGGUGAGUAACACGUGGAUAACCUACCUAUAAGACUGGGAUAACUUCGGGAAACCGGAGCUAAUACCGGAUAAUAUUUUGAACCGCAUGGUUCAAAAGUGAAAGACGGUCUUGCUGUCACUUAUAGAUGGAUCCGCGCUGCAUUAGCUAGUUGGUAAGGUAACGGCUUACCAAGGCAACGAUGCAUUGCCGACCUGAGAGGGUGAUCGGCCACACUGGAACUGAGACACGGUCCAGACUCCUACGGGAGGCAGCAGUAGGGAAUCUUCCGCAAUGGGCGAAAGCCUGACGGAGCAACGCCGCGUGAGUGAUGAAGGUCUUCGGAUCGUAAAACUCUGUUAUUAGGGAAGAACAUAUGUGUAAGUAACUGUGCACAUCUUGACGGUACCUAAUCAGAAAGCCACGGCUAACUACGUGCCAGCACCCGCGGAAGUACGUAGGUGGCAAGCGUUAUCCGGAAUUAUUGGGCGUAAAGCGCGCGUAGGCGGUUUUUUAGUCUGAUGUGAAAGCCCACGGCUCAACCGUGGAGGGUCAUUGGAAACUGGAAAACUUGAGUGCAGAAGAGGAAAGUGGAAUUCCAUGUGUAGCGGUGAAAUGCGCAGAGAUAUGGAGGAACACCAGUGGCGAAGGCGACUUUCUGGUCUGUAACUGACGCUGAUGUGCGAAAGCGUGGGGAUCAAACAGGAUUAGAUACCCUGGUAGUCCACGCCGUAAACGAUGAGUGCUAAGUGUUAGGGGGUUUCCGCCCCUUAGUGCUGCAGCUAACGCAUUAAGCACUCCGCCUGGGGAGUACGACCGUAAGGUUGAAACUCAAAGGAAUUGACGGGGACCCGCACAAGCGGUGGAGCAUGUGGUUUAAUUCGAAGCAACGCGAAGAACCUUACCAAAUCUUGACAUCCUUUGACAACUCUAGAGAUAGAGCCUUCUCCUUCGGGGGACAAAGUGACAGGUGGUGCAUGGUUGUCGUCAGCUCGUGUCGUGAGAUGUUGGGUUAAGUCCCGCAACGAGCGCAACCCUUAAGCUUAGUUGCCAUCAUUAAGUUGGGCACUCUAAGUUGACUGCCGGUGACAAACCGGAGGAAGGUGGGGAUGACGUCAAAUCAUCAUGCCCCUUAUGAUUUGGGCUACACACGUGCUACAAUGGACAAUACAAAGGGCAGCGAAACCGCGAGGUCAAGCAAAUCCCAUAAAGUUGUUCUCAGUUCGGAUUGUAGUCUGCAACUCGACUACAUGAAGCUGGAAUCGCUAGUAAUCGUAGAUCAGCAUGCUACGGUGAAUACGUUCCCGGGUCU
rnacentral:rRNA from 1 species